UGAUGAUGAUGAUGAUGAUGUUGAUGAUGACGAUGAUGAUGACGAUGAUGUUGUUAAUGUUCAUCACCACCACCAUCAUCAUCAUCAUCAUCACCACCA
rnacentral:pre_miRNA from 1 species